rnacentral:rRNA from 1 species
CACGUAGGGCGCGAGCGUUGUCCGGAAUUAUUGGGCGUAAAGAGCCCGUAGGCGGCCUGUUGCGUCCGCUGUGAAAGCCCGGGGCUUAACCCCGGGUCGGCAGUGGAUACGGGGCAGGCUAGAGGUAGGUAGGGGAGACUGGAAUUCCUGGUGUAGCGGUGAAAUGCGCAGAUAUCAGGAGGAACACCGGUGGCGAAGGCGGGUCUCUGGGCAGUAACUGACGCUGAGGAGCGAAAGCGUGGGGAGCGAACAGG